rnacentral:rRNA from 1 species
CCCUUAGAUGUUCUGGGCGGCCCGCGCACUACAAUGGCGUGUGCAGCGAGUGCCGAAGUAGAGUUUUCCGAGGUAUUCUUGCAAUGCUCGUUUUGAUGGGGAUAGACCCUUGCAACUGUUGGUUUUGAACGAGGAAUUCCUUGUAAGCGUGGUUUAUCAUCCGACGCUGAAUGCGUCCCUGCCCUUUGUACACACCGCCCGUCGCUCCUACCGAUGAGUCGUCCGGUGAAGUUCGUAGACCUCGUGAUCGCGGAUCACUGGGGGAAGCAAAAUGAACCUCGCGGUUUAGAGGAAGGAGAAGUCGUAACA